UGCACAACUUUAAACUUUGAUAGAAAAUUACAUCUUCUAUUCGCCAGGGAACUACGAGCAUAAGCUUAAAACCCAAAGGACUUGGCGGUGCUUUAGACCCCCCUAGAGGAGCCUGUUCUGUAACCGAUAAUCCCCGUUAAACCUCACCUUUUCUUGUUACUUCCGCCUAUAUACCGCCGUCGUCAGCUUACCCUAUGAAGGUUAUCCAGUAAGCGAAAUCGAUUUUAUCCAAAACGUCAGGUCGAGGUGUAGCAUAUGAAAAGGAAAGAAAUGGGCUACAUUUUCUAAUUUAGAAAAUAACGGAAAUUGCUAUGAAACAGCAUAUUUAAGGAGGAUUUAGCAGUAAGCCGAGAAUAGAGAGCUCCGCUGAAACUGGCCCUGAAGC
rnacentral:rRNA from 1 species